AGCAUAUCAAUAAGCGGAGGAAAAGAAACCAACAGGGAUUGCCCUAGUAACGGCGAGUGAAGCGGCAACAGCUCAAAUUUGAAAUCUGCCUUCGGGCCGAGUUGUAAUUUGUAGAGGAAGCUUUUGGUGAGGCACCUUCUGAGUCCCCUGGAACGGGGCGCCAUAGAGGGUGAGAGCCCCGUAUAGUCGGAUGCCGAUCCAAUGUAAAGCUCCUUCGACGAGUCGAGUAGUUUGGGAAUGCUGCUCAAAAUGGGAGGUAAAUUUCUUCUAAAGCUAAAUACCGGCCAGAGACCGAUAGCGCACAAGUAGAGUGAUCGAAAGAUGAAAAGCACCUUGAAAAGGGGGUUAAAUAGCACGUGAAAUUGUUGAAAGGGAAGCGUUUGCGGCCAGACUUGCGCCGCCCCGAUCAUCCGGUGUUCUCACCGGUGCACUCGGGGCGGCGCAGGCCAGCAUCGGUUUCGGCGGGGGGAUAAAGGUCCAGGGAACGUAGCUCCUUCGGGAGUGUUACAGCCCUGGGCGUAAUGCCCUCGCCGGGACCGAGGUUCGCGCAUCUGCAAGGAUGCUGGCGUAAUGGCCGCCAACGACCCGUCUUGAAACACGGACCAAGGAGUCAAGGUUUUGCGCGAGUGUUUGGGUGUAAAACCCGCACGCGUAAUGAAAGUGAACGUAGGUGAGAGCUUCGGCGCAUCAUCGACCGAUCCUGAUGUAUUCGGAUGGAUUUGAGUAAGAGCGUUAAGCCUUGGACCCGAAAGAUGGUGAACUAUGCUUGGAUAGGGUGAAGCCAGAGGAAACUCUGGUGGAGGCUCGCAGCGGUUCUGACGUGCAAAUCGAUCGUCAAAUCUGAGCAUGGGGGCG
rnacentral:rRNA from 1 species